rnacentral:lncRNA from 1 species
AAAGAAAGAAAGAAAGAAAGAAAGAAAGAAAGAAAGAAAGAAAGAAAGCAAACAAAGGAAGGAAGGAAGGAAGGAAGGAAGGAAGGAAGGAAGGAAGGAAGGAAGGAAGGAAGGAAAGAGGGCAUUGCUUCAAAUCUGUUGGAGAUAUGUAAUUUAAAAAUCUCAUUGGAUAUUUCUAAUACACUACUAAUGAUACCUUAGAAACUGGCUCAAUGAUAGAGGGAUUUCUAAGCAGUGUAAUUUCUACAUUCGAUGAACAGCUCCAUGAAUAUGCAAUAUAAAGAAUGAUUGCAGCUAACAUUGUUUCUAAUAAGGCUUAUUCCAAUCUCUGGGUUGCUUUUAAUAAUCACAUAGUCAUUCAGAAGAUUUGUUCUCCUGCUCCAUUUUGAAGGCUGUUCUGUGCUUCAUAAAAUCAGUUCAUAUAAAACCACUGAGUUGAUUUUUCAUUUUGCCUUUUCUGGAUACCUAGGGAUACAAUUGCAACUUGUCAUUUAUUCUAUAUGCAUUUUUGAAAGAUAACAUUUUUUUGUAUUUUGGGGCUGUUGUAAAUAAAAUGCUGUAAUUACAUAGCUUAUAAACAACAAACAACUGUCACAUCCCAACCUAGAGGCUGAGAAGGCCAAGUAGAGCCAGCAGAGGUGGGUUCUAGUGUGAGCACACACUUCCUGCCUCACAGAUGAUGGUCUUGCUGUGCUUUCUCCUGUCAGAUGGGCAAAGGAUGUUCUUGGAGGCCUCUUUUAUGAGCACAAUAAGCCAAACCUGAGAGUCAGAGCCCUCAAUGUGAGCCCUUCACACAGGCUCCGCCACCACACACCCCCGUCUUGUGACUAAAUCUCAACAUAAUGGACUGGGAGAGUGGAUGGCACAAGGGUUCUGACUGUCACACCUGGGUGCGUGUCAUUCAAUAAGAGCAAUGAUGACUUGUUCCACCUAGAAAGUGCUCUGAAUAGAGAGGCAUCUCAAUGCAAUUUCUUCACCAUUACUCACUCAUCUUUUUGUGAUAUCACUUUCCUUUAUUAUCCAGAAACAUAAGUGGAGGAGGGAGAGCUACAGGGCAUGGAUCCACAGAAGAGGAAGUAGGAUAUCACUGUGAUAUAUUCUUUGUUUGUUUGUUUGUUUGUUUGUUUGUUUGUUUGAACUGAGUGUCAGAGAUCCUAGCAGGGUUCUACUCUAUGGACUGGAUGCCUCUUCUGUGAGGUCUUGAAUUCAUGGAAGUGAUUAAAAUCUGAUUUGGAUAGAUUAGCAUAUCUCAGAGAUUUCUAAUUAACUGAGAUUCUCUUCCCCUUGUCUUUUUUUCUCCCUCUUUCUUUUCAUUUUCAUUUUCAUUUUUUUUCUUGCCUUGAUUUUUGUUUUUAUUAAGUCAUUUUUUUUCUUUGUUAGGCAGAAUCUCACAUCAUAACCCCAAAUGACCUGUUACUCACCAUGUGGCCCAGCUGUCUUCAAACUCACCAGCCUCCUGCCUUAGCCUUCUAAAUGCUUGGAUUACAGGCAUGACCCACCAUAACUGGCUUUGUUUUAGUUUCAGAGAAGAUGAAACUGAUGUGCGUCAAAAAGCUGGUAGUCUGUCAAGGAAAUGAGCUGAACAUGUCUGUGUACAGCUUUUGUGCCAUCCCUGGAUGAGCGAGCUGUCUGCCUCUAUGUUCUCCACAAAAUGGAAUAUAGCUGUACACCCAAGCCAAGUUAUGGAGGCUGGGAAGACCUAGAAUGUGGCAUCACUAUUUGGAAACCAUGCCGAUUACCGACCGAGCUCUCAAUGGAAAAAUGCAGUCGGCGUGAACCACGCACGAACACAGCAGAGAAAGAAGAAAACACACACCACGAGGAACCCUAAUAGGACAAUACAUUAUAAGUCACAGUGCUACGGAGAAACCCAGUAGCCACAUGGAAGCAGAGACCAUGCAUAUGCAUCUACUCCGCAGCUCUGUGAAUGUCAGCAGCUCCCACGGACUGGAGAUCCCGUGAGAUCCCGUGAGAUCUCACCCAUAGCCUCAUGGUACAUCCACUUGGUGUGCUGGGAGAGUCAGGAUGAGGACCUGAGAAGAACAGCAGCUUGAACCUGACUUCAUUUAACAGCCCACUGCCCUCUUGCCAAGAACCCAUCACAGACCUUCCCAGAAGAGAGGGAUGAGCCUCACCUAUGAAUAAGUCCUCAGAAACUCAAAUUUGAUUCUAAUGGAUUGUUUUCUCAGAAAGACUGAGCAUGUCCCCCCACAUCUCUGUCAUUUCCCACAGUAGUAACCUCUGCAGAUGCCACAUAGAAAACAAAACAAAACAAAAAAACAUGAGGUUGGUGGGCAGAUAGGCAGGGUAUAAACAAACAGCCUUGUAACCCAGAAGCUGUGUGAUAUACAGUAAACUUCACAACACUGAAAAGAUGUCCUAUCUGUUAAAAUGGGGUAAUAACAACUACCCGAAUGUUUAGGAAUAGAACUUCAAUAAAUGAUACAUUUUAUAGUACAGCAGACCAUCCUGUAAAGGUUUCAUCCUUCACUGUGGUGAUAAAUAUCCCAAACCACAUUGAAAAGCAUUGCAUCUACAUUUAUCUACACUGUAACUGUACUGUAAAUCAUGGGGGAGGGGAGAAUCAUAAAAACACCACCUGUCACCGUGUCAUUAAAGCAAGUUGGAAGUGAUACUUACAGAAACACAGCAAGAGCACCCCCAGUCACACAGUUCAAUCUCUUAGCAAGCGUUUUCUUUCUAGCCCAGUGGUUCUCAGUUUGGAAUUUUUGGCACUGCCUAGAGAUAGUUUUGUUGUUAAAACUGAGAAAAGAGCCGGGCGUGGUGGCACACGCCUUUAAUCCCAGCACUCAGGAGGCAGAGGCAGG